CUUGAUACUGCAAUAAAGCUUUCUUUGUAACGUUGCUUCUUUAACUUCAGAAAAAGUUUGUUCCAGGUUUUACUGAAACUAUGCUAGAAAGGAAAACAUUACCUUUUGUUUAGAUUUCUCAAUGCAAGCAAUACUUUUGACUUCUGUGCAGGCAUAUGAGACCAUUGUCAUCACUUUUAUCUGAAAAAAGAUCUGAAAAACAGAUAUGAAUAAAAUCAC